AAAAUAGAGAAGAGUAAGGUUUGUUGGUUUGUUGGCAUGUUGAGGGUUUCACACUCUGUGGGGUUAUAUUUACUUUACCACCUACUGUUAGUGCUUUCAUAAGAUGGCUGAGAGACCAUCAAUUAAAAUGUUAUAAUGUAGAAUGUUUUGCCAAUGUUAUAGGUAGAGUUUUCAUGUUGGAAUUCAAUGUUAUAGGUAGAGUUUUCAUGUUGUAAUUCAAUAGGUAGAGUUAAUGUUUUAAUUCAAUUGUAAUUAAAAUUGAACGCAUGUGUGCAUAGUUAAUACAUGCCAAUGUAUUUUUGUUUUUAAUGAGAAUAAAUACGAAGCUCCUAUGAA